GGCAAUAUGGCCGAGCGGUCUAAGGCGCCAGAAUCAGGUGACUUGUAUCACAUCUGGUCCUCCGGGGCGUGGGUUCGAAUCCCACUGUUGUCA